rnacentral:rRNA from 1 species
CCUACGGGAGGCAGCAGUGGGGGAUAUUGCACAAUGGGGGGAACCCUGAUGCAGCGACGCCGCGUGGGUGAAGAAGCGCCUCGGCGCGUAAAGCCCUGUCAGCAGGGAAGAAAAUGACGGUACCUGAAGAAGAAGCCCCGGCUAACUACGUGCCAGCAGCCGCGGGAAUACGUAGGGGGCAAGCGUUAUCCGGAUUUACUGGGUGUAAAGGGGGCGCAGACGGCGAUGCAAGCCAGGAGUGAAAGCCCGGGGCCCAACCCCGGGACUGCUCUUGGAACUGCGUGGCUGGAGUGCAGGAGGGGCAGGCGGAAUUCCUGGGGUAGCGGUGAAAUGCGUAGAUAUCAGGAGGAACACCGGUGGCGAAGGCGGCCUGCUGGACUGCAACUGACGUUGAGGCCCGAAAGCGUGGGGAGCAAACAGGAUUAGAUACCCCGGUAGUC